GUGACUAGGAUUGUGUUCUGCUGCUGUUUUCUCCAUAAUCUGUGUUUAAGCCAACAUCUUGCACAUGGUGAGGGAGAAAGCAGCCAGCAAGCAGAGGAGUUAGAACCAUCUGGUGACAGUGUCAGUACAAAUGUAGGGAGGCAGGUACGUCAAGAAGUGAUCCUGCGAUAUUUUACAGAUAACUGAGGUGAUCUGGGCUCAUCACUCUGCGAACUCGCCAAUAGUGCCAGUGGUGGCUGGGAUGACACUGCCGAUAGCCUUCGCCUGGGUGGGGAUGAUGGAGGUGCAGAAUCAGACCCAAGACGCCGAGUCUUAGUUGGCCUCCUUGAAAAAGUGACUACAGUGAAGACUUACCUGCAAUACCGGCA